GUCCACGCCCUAAACGAUGUCAACUGGUUGUUGGGUCUUCACUGACUCAGUAACGAAGCUAACGCGUGAAGUUGACCGCCUGGGGAGUACGGCCGCAAGGUUAAAACUCAAAGGAAUUGACGGGGCCCGCACAAGCGGUGGAGCAUGUGGUUUAAUUCGAAGCAACGCGCAGAACCUUACCACCUUUUGACAUGCCUGGACCGCCACAGAGAUGUGGUUUUCCCUUCGGGGACUAGGACACAGGUGCUGCAUGGCUGUCGU
rnacentral:rRNA from 1 species